rnacentral:rRNA from 1 species
GGGUUGUGAGGUUAAGCGACUAAGCGUACACGGUGGAUGCCCUGGCAGUCAGAGGCGAUGAAGGACGUGCUAAUCUGCGAUAAGCGCCGGUAAGGUGAUAUGAACCGUUAUAACCGGCGAUUUCCGAAUGGGGAAACCCAGUGUGACUCGUCACACUAUCAUUAACUGAAUCCAUAGGUUAAUGAGGCGAACCGGGGGAACUGAAACAUCUAAGUACCCCGAGGAAAAGAAAUCAACCGAGAUUCCCCCAGUAGCGGCGAGCGAACGGGGAGGAGCCCAGAGCCUGAAUCAGCAUGUGUGUUAGUGGAAGCGUCUGGAAAGGCGCGCGAUACAGGGUGACAGCCCCGUACACAAAAGCGCAUGUGCUGUGAGCUCGAUGAGUAGGGCGGGACACGUGGUAUCCUGUCUGAAUAUGGGGGGACCAUCCUCCAAGGCUAAAUACUCCUGACUGACCGAUAGUGAACCAGUACCGUGAGGGAAAGGCGAAAAGAACCCCGGCGAGGGGAGUGAAAAAGAACCUGAAACCGUGUACGUACAAGCAGUGGGAGCCCCACCACUAAGCCAGUGGUGAACUCCACAUACGCAUCCUUUGCUGAGGAUACGGUUAACGGAGCGAAAGCGACGUUCAACCGCAAAAGAAGCAGAGGGGGCUU